CGGGGGCAGAUUCGGUCACCGGGGCACACGUCCCUAUGGAGGUAGCUACACAACCACCGUCACCGGUGCAACUAACUUCGGAUGAUGAGUUGUUUCAGGAGACCGGGGGGAGUGAAUUCAGCGACAGCUGUCUGCGCUCCUCCCCAUCGCCGAACUGACCUUAUCCAGGCUAACCUCCAGCACAGUCAGACAGCGUCGGCUUCCCUACGCAGACUGCUGGAGACUAAUCCGAAGACCAUCGCCGCGAUCCAGGAGCCGUGGAUCAGGAAUGGCAAGAUAUGUGGCCUGGGCGGCACCGGUGGUAAACUUUUACUGGAUACCUCCGAACCUUACAGCUAUUAGGUUACCCAGAAACAAUCAACCAGACGUCGUCCUGGCGUCCGCCUACUUACCAGGUGACGAGGACGUGCCCACUCCAGAACUCGGCCUUCUGGCUGACUACUGUGAGAGGGAGAAACUGGAGCUAAUCAUCGCGGCGGACUCCAAUGCGCACCACACGUUAUGGGGUAACGCUAGUA